CUGUUCCUGAGAUUUGCUGUUUAUUUGUGCUGAAAAUUAAGACCUUCAAUUUCCUUUCUGCCUGAUUUGAUGGAACAAACUGAAGAACUAACUGGAGUCAGUUAAUUAGAGAGACUUUGAAGAGGUGAGAUUCACUUUACCGGAGUUAAACGAUCCUUAUUUUUUAACCUGCAGACACUAUAAUCAGCAGCCUGCUAUUUGUCACUUUUUGUGUGUUUUUCAGCGCUUUCACCUCGUCUUAAAACAAAAAUCUGUAAACGAAGAAGACCGGCUUCUGGAGUCUUCACAGCGAACUGUUGUCCCAGUUUUUCCUAAUAGAAGAUUUCAGCUGCUCAACAUAUCGAGGUCUCCUGUUACAUAAGUGCAAUUAAAGUUUCCAAUGAGCGACAAGUCAGGAUUUUAGGCGAGCAGGACUCUUCUACGACAGAGCCAAACCUGCAGAUUGUGGUUUGUUAUUGUCCCGGAGCUGGAAAGAAGCAGGUGGAAAUCGACACAUUAACUUGAAUGGAAACAAUCAGCGCCGAUCGACGGCCUUUUCGCCUCCGUUCCAUAAGCGGUGGAAAUUAUGGGUAGAGCUGUGCAGUAGG